rfam:Danio rerio chromosome 4, GRCz11 reference primary assembly.
GCAUUGGUGGUUCAGUGGUAGAAUUCUCGCCUACCAUGCGGGACACAUGAGUUCAAUUCUUGUCUAGUGCA